rnacentral:lncRNA from 1 species
GACAGAGCAACUUGAUUACAUAAAUAAAGAGUUGAAAAUUUCUUAAGCAGCAUCUUAGCUUGUUCAAAGUUUGAGGGAUUUUGAUGGAGCGACACCUAGCAAGUUCUACUUUAAUUUAUUUAUUUCCUAAGGGUUAUUCACUGGUUCCUAUUUUGGGCUAUUCUGGUUCUUCAGUGGAAGCAGAAGGAAGAGAGAGGGAGA